rnacentral:rRNA from 1 species
CGCAGCAGGCGCGAAAACUUUACAAUGCAGGCAACUGCGAUAGGGGAACAUCGAGUGAUCGUCAUAUAAGGGGUCUGUCCACUCGCCUAAAAAACGGGUGUUAGCAAGGGCCGGGCAAGACCGGUGCCAGCCGCCGCGGUAAUACCGGCGGCUCGAGUGGUGGCCGAUAUUAUUGGGUCUAAAGGGUCCGUAGCCGGCUGUUCAAGUCUCUCGGGAAAUCCAGCGGCUUAACCGUUGGUCUUCCGGGGGU